rnacentral:rRNA from 1 species
AUGCUGCUAGCGUUGGCAUGCACGGGUUCUAGGAAGGAGCUGGAAGAAGCGUGUCUCAGGGAGCCGUCGCUCCUUGAGGGGGUCACCGUUGAGGGGGACACCGCACUCCAUGCGGUGGCCUCCUACGGUGACAGCACCAACUUCUUGAGGAGCGCCGACUUCAUCUUCGGCAUGGCCAAAGACCUCCUAUUUGUGCGGAACAACAAUAGAGACACGCCUCUGCACUGCGCCGCACGGGCCGGGAGCCCCCAUAUGAUCUAUCGCCUCAUAGGCUUUGCUAAAUGUGUUGGCAGAGGCAAGGAAUUGCUUGAGAUGGAAAAUAAGCUUGGUGAGACGGCUCUGCACGAGGCUGUCCGCAUCCGGAGCAAUGGCAUAGUCACGCAGCUCAUGGAGGAGGACCCAGAAUUGGCCAGCGUACCCAGAGACGGUGCUUCGCCUCUGUACCUUGCCAUCCUGUUUGCAGAUAAGAUCAUUGCGGAGACGCUGCGUGCAAAGAGCGCCCCCGGGAUACUUUCUUACCAUGGUCCAAAUGGCCAAAAUGCACUUCAUGCUGCAGUUCUCCAAGGCCAAGUGAUGACGAAAAUGUUGUUGAACUGGAAGAAAGACCUAACGAAGGAAGCAGACCAAAAAGGAAGCACGCCUCUCCACAUUGCUGCUUCACUUCUGGCGGUGCAGGCUGACCCAUAUCAGCUGUAUCAACCAGACAUUGAAGGGUUAUUUCCGAUACACAUUGCUGCCACAUCAGGUCCGUAUUCGACCAUCAUGACUAUGAUUACUAAGUAUCGAACAUUCAUUCAUGUUGCUGUUGAAUGGGAAAGAAACGAUAUCGUUGUGCCUGCUUGCCAUACUCCGUCGGUCGCACCAAUUUUGAAUAUGCGAGACAACGAUGGCAACACUGCGCUACACUUAGCAGUACAACUUGGGGUUUUCGACAGCUUUUGCUCUUUAUUGAUGAACAAGACAGUACGCUUGGAUUUGACAAAUAACAACGGGGAAACUCCUCUAGAUCUAACAUGGAGUAAGAUGCCUACUGGAUAUUCCUAUUUAGCGAACACUGGGAACUUGAUGAAUGUUGCUUUAACAUACUGCCAAGCUAGGCAUGGUUUUCAUCUUCGAGUUGAUCAACUCAGAGUGCGGUACUUUAAGCAAGAGGAUGAAGUGAAUGAAUCAAACAAACUAACAAAUUCAACACAAACUCUGGUUAUUGGCCCCGUGCUAAUUGCAACAGUCACAUUUGGUGCAUCUUUCACUGUGCCUGGCGGCUACAAUAACAGUGGCGCACCAGUACUUACUGGCGGGUAUAUAUUUAACGCAUUCAUGAUGGCCAACACACUAGCAUUCCUUUUAUCUGCCGCAGCAACCAUCAAUCUCAUGCAUGCUGGGACGACUAUGGUUGACGUGCGCAUUCGGGGUCUACACUAUAACAUAUCAGCAUAUUGUGCCUUCUGUUCGGUCACAAGUUUGGGUGCUGCCUUUGCGUUAGGCCAGUAUUUAAUUUUGGCUCAUGUUGCACAUAUGACGGCAAUUGCAGUAUGUGCAUUGGUGUUCCUGAUGUCUUGGUGCGGAUACAUGGAACCUCUAAGAGUCAUUGGUUUAGCAAGAGCACUACGUGUUCGACGGGGCAAUAGUAAAGCAUUUUCCAUAUACACAAGUAUUAUCUUAUGGCAAACACUGGCAGUAUAUUGGCCCUUGGUAAUAAUAUUCGGUUGGGCAGCCAUUUCAGCAAAAUAUGGACACAAGCAAAUGACUUGA